rnacentral:rRNA from 1 species
UACGAAGGGGGGCUAGCGUUGCUCGGAAUUACUGGGCGUAAAGGGCGCGUAGGCGGCCACUUUAGUCAGGCGUGAAAUUCCUGGGCUCAAACCUGGGGGCUGCGUUUGAUACGUAUGGACUUGAGUUCGGAAGAGGGUCGUGGAAUUCCCAGUGUAGAGGUAAAAUUCGUAGAUAUUGGGAAGAAACACCGGUGGCGAAGGCGGCGACCUGGUCCGAUACUGACGCUGAGGCGCGAAAGCGUGGGGGAGCAAACAGG